CUACCUUUGACAUGUACGGAACUCGCCAGAGAUGGCUUGGUGCUCGAAAGAGAGCCGUAACACAGGUGCUGCAUGGCUGUCGUCAGCUCGUGUCGUGAGAUGUUGGGUUAAGUCCCGCAACGAGCGCAACCCUUGUCAUUAGUUGCUACAUUUAGUUGGGCACUCUAAUGAGACUGCCGGCGACAAACCGGAGGAAGGUGGGGAUGACGUCAAGUCCUCAUGGCCCUUAUAGGUAGGGCUACACACGUCAUACAAUGGAUGGUACAAAGGGUCGCCAACCCGCGAGGGGGAGCCAAUCCCAUAAAGCCAUUCGUAGUCCGGAUCGCAGUCUGCAACUCGACUGCGUGAAGUCGGAAUCGCUAGUAAUCGUGGAUCAGA
rnacentral:rRNA from 1 species